rnacentral:rRNA from 1 species
GAUGAACGCUGGCGGCGUGCUUAACACAUGCAAGUCGAACGGGAAACCUUUUAAUGAAGCUUCGGCAGAUUUAGCUGGUUUCUAGUGGCGGACGGGUGAGUAACGCGUGGGUAACCUGCCUUAUACAGGGGGAUAACAGUCAGAAAUGACUGCUAAUACCGCAUAAGCGCACAGGACCGCAUGGUCCGGUGUGAAAAACUCCGGUGGUAUAAGAUGGACCCGCGUUGGAUUAGCUUGUUGGUGGGGUAACGGCUCACCAAGGCGACGAUCCAUAGCCGGCCUGAGAGGGUGAACGGCCACAUUGGGACUGAGACACGGCCCAGACUCCUACGGGAGGCAGCAGUGGGGAAUAUUGCACAAUGGGGGAAACCCUGAUGCAGCGACGCCGCGUGAAGGAAGAAGUAUCUCGGUAUGUAAACUUCUAUCAGCGGGGAAGAUAGUGACGGUACCUGACUAAGAAGCCCCGGCUAACUACGUG